rnacentral:tRNA from 1 species
CCGGCUCGGAGGCCGUGUCCGGUGUGACCUCGGUGUGCGGGGCCGGCGCGGAGGCCGUGUCCGCCGGGUCCGGUUCGGCCUCCGGCGGGCCGGG